rnacentral:rRNA from 1 species
GUCGAACGCUGGCGGCGUGCUUAACACAUGCCAGUCGAACGGAAAGGCCCUGCUUUUGUGGGGUGCUCGAGUGGCGAACGGGUGAGUAACACGUGAGUAACCUGCCCUUGACUUUGGGAUAACUUCAGGAAACUGGGGCUAAUACCGGAUAGGAGCUCCUGCUGCAUGGUGGGGGUUGGAAAGUUUCGGCGGUUGGGGAUGGACUCGCGGCUUAUCAGCUUGUUGGUGGGGUAGUGGCUUACCAAGGCUUUGACGGGUAGCCGGCCCGAGAGGGUGACCGGCCACAUUGGGACUGAGAUACGGCCCAGACUCCUACGGGAGGCAGCAGUGGGGAAUAUUGCACAAUGGGCGGAAGCCUGAUGCAGCAACGCCGCGUGCGGGAUGACGGCCUUCGGGUUGUAAACCGCUUUCGCCUGUGACGAAGCGUGAGUGACGGUAAUGGGUAAAGAAGCACCGGCUAACUACGUG